UACGUAGGGUGCAAGCGUUAAUCGGAAUUACUGGGCGUAAAGCGUGCGCAGGCGGUUCGCUAAGACAGAUGUGAAAUCCCCGGGCUUAACCUGGGAACUGCAUUUGUGACUGGCGGGCUAGAGUAUGGCAGAGGGGGGUAGAAUUCCACGUGUAGCAGUGAAAUGCGUAGAGAUGUGGAGGAAUACCGAUGGCGAAGGCAGCCCCUGGGCCAAUACUGACGCUCAUGCACGAAAGCGUGGGGAGCAAACAGG
rnacentral:rRNA from 1 species